AACGAACGCUGGCGGCAGGCUUAACACAUGCAAGUCGAGCGCCCCGCAAGGGGAGCGGCAGACGGGUGAGUAACGCGUGGGAAUCUACCUAGCUCUACGGAAUAGCUCCGGGAAACUGGAAUUAAUACCGUAUACGCCCUUCGGGGGAAAGAUUUAUCGGAGUUGGAUGAGCCCGCGUUGGAUUAGCUAGUUGGUGGGGUAAUGGCCUACCAAGGCGACGAUCCAUAGCUGGUCUGAGAGGAUGAUCAGCCACACUGGGACUGAGACACGGCCCAGACUCCUACGGGAGGCAGCAGUGGGGAAUAUUGGACAAUGGGCGCAAGCCUGAUCCAGCCAUGCCGCGUGAGUGAUGAAGGCCCUAGGGUUGUAAAGCUCUUUCACCGGUGAAGAUAAUGACGGUAACCGGAGAAGAAGCCCCGGCUAACUUCGUGCCAGCCGCCGCCGUAACAC
rnacentral:rRNA from 1 species